GCAAGACUGAAACUCAAAGGAAUUGACGGGGGCCCGCACAAGCGGUGGAGCAUGUGGUUUAAUUCGAUGAUACGCGAGGAACCUUACCAGGGCUUAAAUGUAGUCUGACAGCUUUAGAGAUAGAGUUUUCUUCGGACAGAUUACAAGGUGCUGCAUGGUUGUCGUCAGCUCGUGCCGUGAGGUGUCAGGUUAAGUCCUAUAACGAGCGCAACCCCUGUCGUUAGUUGCCAGCAUGUUAUGAUGGGGACUCUAACGAGACUGCCUACGCAAGUAGAGAGGAAGGUGGGGAUGACGUCAAAUCAUCACGGCCCUUACGUCCUGGGCCACACACGUGCUACAAUGGUAUGGACAAUGAGCAGCCAUCUGGCAACAGAGAGCGAAUCUACAAACCAUAUCACAGUUCGGAUCGGAGUC
rnacentral:rRNA from 1 species